rnacentral:rRNA from 1 species
GAUGAACGCUGGCGGCGUGCCUAAUACAUGCAAGUCGAGCGAACAGACGAGGAGCUUGCUCCUCUGACGUUAGCGGCGGACGUGUGAGUAACACGUGGAUAACCUCCCUAUAUGACUGGGAUAACUUCGGGACACCGGCGCUAAUACCGUAUAAUAUAUUGAACCGCAUGGUUCAAUAGUGAAUGACGGUUUUGCUGUCACUUAUAGAUGGAUCCGCGCCGCAUUAGCUAGUUGGUAAGGUAACGGCUUACCAAGGCAACGAUGCGUAGCCGACCUGACAGGGUGAUCGGCCACACUGGAACUGAGACACGGUCCAGACUCCUACGGGAGGCAGCAGUAGGGAAUCGUCCGCAAUGGGCGAAAGCCUGACGGAGCAACGCCGCGUGAGUGAUGAAGGUCUUCGGAUCGUAAAACUCUGUUAUUAGGGAAGAACAAAUGUGUAAGUAACUAUGCACGUCUUGACGGUACCUAAUCAGAAAGCCACGGCUAACUACGUG